CUCGUUCGCUGUGGCGUGCCCCGGUGCCGACGUCAGAAGGGCCAGAAGAAUCGCCCGGCAGGCCCGGCCGGGCGGGAAAAGAAAGCGCGUCGAAGAAAAGCCCGCUGGCCCAGGAAAGCGCAUGGCGGGAAGUAUGGCCGAUA
rnacentral:ncRNA from 1 species